AAUACAAACCAUUUUAAUUUUAACGUAUUAUCUAUGCAUUUUUUUUCUCGCAAUGUAAGCACGGAACGUUAAUAUUAUAGUUUUUAGCAAAGAGCAUAAUUAUAAUCACUACGUUUUAGUUUGAGAUAUGUUUGACAUAAAGUUAAACACUGAAGUUGACAUUGACACUUCUGGCGUGGGAAUAACUAGUAAACGAAUUCAUUGGGAUUUUUUUUUUUUAAUCUUUAUUUAUUUAUUGAGGGUUUUUAAAUAAAUGCCACCCUCAUAGUGGCUCUCUAACAAAACUACACCAGACUAAUUUUCACUAUUUCUACGUGCUAUGAUAUCGAUAACCAUAGAAUAAAGGAGCCCAGCCUCUUCCGAAGCAGGGGAUGCUAGGAUGCUAUUGACUCGGCCGAGGUCAUAGGAACAGACAUUAAGCAAGCGACGCUGUGCGACACCUCGGCGACAUUCCAUUGUUAUAUGAAACACGUCUUCAAUUACUCCGCAAAAACGCAAAAUUAUUCAAAGGAAUGUGGCCAGAUCGCAAUCUAAAGGCAACAAUUAGAUCCUGCCCGUUCAACUUACAAAAAGAAAACCAUGGGGCUCGAGGAAGUGAGGGUUGAAUCGUUUUGUACCAUAUGCCCUUUGUGCGAGAUCUUUCAUCGAAAUAUUCAGACCACCUGCACAUAUUCUUGACUUUGUAUAGAAUAUCAGUAAACCAAGGAACAUUAUGGCACUUUUCACUCAUUUCGGAUGCUUCUCUAGCCAACCGAUCCACCAACUCGUUCCCCACAACACCGCAGUGAGAGGGAAUCCAUUGUAAAAUAACUUUCUUUUUGCUUUGGGAAUUUUGUGAGACUCAACAUAUGCCACUGCUUCCAUUUAGGCAAUUGAUUCCCCAGUGAAGACGGAGGAUUGUGAGGGACAUUUGUAUGAUAAGAGGAUGUGGUAUCUAGGGAUCCAAACUGCUGCUCCCACACAGCUAUUGGGGCUCAAUUUUAAAGCAUCAGUGAAGAUUGAUACCACAGAUGAGAGAGCCUGUAAGCGAGGAAUGAGGGGGUGAUUGGAUAUCCAACAAGCCCUCAAAACAUAUCGGUCUGCAAGGAGUUGCCUAUGGAGAAAAAGGCGAGCUUCCACACACUCAACCUGCAUGGCAUUCUUCGAUGAGGAUCUCAUGGCUCCAAGAAUGAUCCGAAGACAUUUGGCUUGGAUAGCAUCUAACUUUUUGAGAGCUACUUUAUUGCAUGGUUCUAGAACAAAUGAACCAUAGUCCAUUUGGCUACGAAUUAGGGCAUUGUAGACAAGUUUUUGGCAGUAGGAAUGAGCGCCCCACCAGACCCCAGACAGGGAUCGGAGCACAUUAAUGCCAUUUUCACAUUUGUCAACAACAUGCUUUAAAUCAGGAACACCUGUCAUUUUGGAGUCAAAGAUAACACCCAGGAAUUUUACACUUCUGCUGUUGGGAAUAAUCUGGUCUUCAUAGUGGAGAACAACAUUAGGAAUGGAGUGGCUGCGUGUAAAAGUGACUGUGCAGCUUUUGGAGGGUGAAAGUGAAAGGCCAUGUUCAUCCAACCAGUCUUUGAGGUACACUAACGCCUCAUUCAAUCUUGUAGAUGCAUCAUCUACAUUGUGGGCUGUGGUAUAAACCACCAAGUCAUCGGCAUAUUGCAGAAUAUUGCAGAAGGGGAGGACAGAUUGCUCAACAUCAAAUGUAUAAAGAUUAUAUAGAAGAGGACUGAGGACGGAGCCCUGGGGAAGGCCUUGCCAUACAGUUAAAGGUGGGUGGAAGGUAUUCCAAGUUCUGAUUUUGAUGGUUCUUCCCAUGAACAGCUUGCAGAUAAUUUGUACAAUUCUCGCAGGUGUGCUCAGCUGUAGCAGUUUUGCUCUGAGCAGAGGGAGUUGCACAUUGUCAUAUACCGAUGAGAUAUCUAGGAAGCACCCAACGAGUUGCUGCUUCUUAGAGAGGGCCAGUCUAAUAUCUGAAGUUAAAAUGGUUAAGCUGUCCAAGGUGCUUCUUCCCUUGCGGAAUCCAAAUUGGGUAUUAGCUAGGAUUCCUUUAUUCUCCACCAACCAUUCCAAUCUGUUCUUCACCAAGUGUUCAAAAAUCUUUCCCAUAGUUGCAGAUAAUGCGAUGGGGCGAUAGGAAGAAGCUUGGCGGGAAUCUUUGCCUGGCUUCAAAAUUGGAAUUACAACUUGAGUCCUCCAAUCCUCUGGGACCUCACUAGACAUGAAAAACAAAUUGAACAGUUUUAGAAGGUGGUCUUUGGAAGGAGGGCUCAAUUUAUGGAUGAAGCAAUAUGGAAUGCCUUCUUCUCCAGGUGAGCUGUUGCGGAGACCAGUUAAAACCAUGUCAAGUUCUGAGAUAGAAAAGGGGUUGUCAAGUGGAACUAAGUGCGAAACGUAAACUGGGUUUAGACAGCACUCUUCUGGGACAGAUGGAGGGGCCAAUUUGCUUGUAAAUUCUUCCAGCCAGAUAGAAGAAUCGCAAGAUGAUGAGGGAUCGGACUUAAAAGAUCCUCGGAAUUUCUGCAUAUUUCUCCAAACCAGUGAUGAUGGGGUUCUGGGAUUAAUAUUUUCACAAAAUCCCUUCCAUCCCUUCUUUUUUGUUUUGUUAAGGAGGCGUUUUGUUUGGGCAGAGAUUUUUUUGAAAGCAGUAAAAUCUGUAGUGAGGCCUGUCUCAUUAUAUAUCCGUUCUGCAUCAUCUCUCUCUUUAACUGCUGCAAAUGAAAAAAAAAUGAUUUUUCUUAGGAAUAAUUCUUGGAAUUGGCGCCUAGCCGUUUUUAAGACAUGAUUUUCUGAGUUAUUUGAACUUAACAGAUUAAAUAUUAAAGGUACUAAUUCCUGGAGUAAUAAAAAUAAUUGUACCUAAUCGUUUUUUCCUAAAAAUAACUUGAAAAAUUAUAAUGCCUGCAAAAGUGUAAUAGCAAGAAAAAUAUAAAUGAGUAAAACUUGGAAACCACAAAUAAAAUGGCUCUUAUUAUAAUUGAAUAUGAAGGUACAAAAAUUUAGCUUUUAUAGAAUUUAUCAAUAACCACGGGAAUAUAGCGUAAUAAAGUACACCCGCCAUUCUGACUGUCAGGAUGGCGGGUGUACUGUUUGUUGGUGAUAACUUUAAGUACCGUGAGGUACAAUUUUUUUAAAGGAGGUACUAAAUAGUACAAACCGAAGUAUUCUCAUGCGGCUAUUAAAAUCGAAAUCGAAAUUCACAAGAAAGCAGGCGUUAGCGUAGCGUAGUAGGCGCACUUUGAAAUUGAUUUUAAUUGUGACGCUCUCAAGCAAAAGGUACCACAUCGUCAUAACCUUUCGGAGCGUCCUUAUGGCAAACGACAAUGUUGUAACUUUUUGCUUGAGAACGACACAAUUGUUGACCCAUUUACGGUUUAAGCAAAUUCGUUGUAAAUACUAACGCUAUGACAUCUCCAAUGUAAACGAUUAAAGCCCACGACUCACCGAUUAAAGUCCGCGACUGUACCUAACUUGUUGGACUAAGAAAAUAACUUCUGGACCUUAUUUUAUCUCAUAUAAAUCAAGAGUUUCGUAUCUUACCAUCUUUUGGAAAUGUUACCGGUAAUAUUGGUAACUUACUAGUAACAUUCCCAAAUGGAAACUUACUGGUAGCGGGAAUGUUUCCGCAGCCCAUCACUAGUGAUAAAGCAACGCAACCUAAAUGUGUUUGGAGUUGUUAGAAUUAUCUCGAUGAGUGCUAUUAGUUGCCCAGCUUGUACCAAAAAAUUAUUUUUGUCAAAAACUUAAUUUGAACAUGGACGCACACUAUAGAGCAAUAAAAAUCUAAACGUUUGUAUGGGUUUCACACAGAAAGACCCAUUGCUAUGGGUUUUAAGUGUACAUUAUUCUGAUUAUGUCUAGGUACAAUAUUAUCACUUACGCAAGAACAACACAUCGUAAAUAAAAGUAAUAAAAAUGAAAUUACUUUAUAUUUAUUUUUCUUUUCAAUCUAAUUUUAUUGAAGUGUUAUAAGCGAGUGGACGGAAUUUGAAAAUCAAACAGCAUGAUGCACUUCUUCAAUCAAACGCUACUUAUUGCCGUUACGAUUUUGUUUGCUAUGCAUUUUGUUAAUGCGUGUUGUGGAGCCCACGGAGAACACCGCAUUAAGCCACAAUUCCACAGAAUUGCUUUACCCAAUCGAAAAUCCCUUUUCCGUUUACGAAACAGUACUUCACCCUAUUAGAAACUCUACUAUCAAACUCUCUUUAACUUAAAAAUUCUACCUACCUACUUAUGAGGUUGUUAUAUAACAGGCGGAAUUUCAAAAAGCCUCUGCAGUAGACUCAAGAAAAUUACAAAAUGUACCAAAAACCACAAUGGCUAUUGAAAUACAGAAGAUUUUGGCUCAAAUUCAGGAUACCAAGAUUGUAAGGAAUAAAGGUCACGCCCAAGAAUUACUGAAACAAAUGAAGAAAGUAUUUCAAGCUGCCACUACUAAGUCUACAAUGACCAGAUGUCCUUUCGCAAGGUGCAAAGCAAAAUCUACGCGACCAAUUCAUUAAUUUGUUGAAACGCCCAUAAACCGAGAAUUAAAUUCUGCAUUAAAAUCUACAGAUUUUGUCUGGCUCUUUCUUUUAAUAACAUAAAAACUUCGCUAACUAGUGGCUCUCUUCACAGAGAGCUUAGUUGAAGACCUCGCGUAAAAUAUAAUAAACUAAAUGUAAUACUUCUCCGCCGUUUAAUAAAAAUUCGUCGAAAAAAUGAUUUAAUCAUCAACCUGCCCACAAAAUUACACGAGAAUCGGAUGAGAAUUGCGACUUGUAGAGAAAAACCCGGACAUACUAAAGCAUUUUUGACCAAGCUAAAAAGGAAACCUUCGCUAAUGCUCGGUCAAAAACUAUAUUUCCAUUACUCCUUUCAGGUGACAGAAUUCUAACACUACCAGUACCUUUGUGUUCGUUAUUUUGAAGUAUCAAAACUACCCUCAUAGUAAAACAUUUUUUAUUUAGGUACACUCAUGGACUCGCGGAUUUUAGUCGAUGAGCCAUUUACGGUUUACUUUACAUUGGACAUUUCACACUGUUAGUAUACACAACCAAAUUAACUUGAACCCUAAAUGGAUCAGCAAACAAAGUCUGUGACCGUACCCUAGCUACAUAUUAUAAAGAUUAUAAGUAGGUACCUAGAAAAAUCGUUUUUGCCUUUUGCUAUUAAAAUAUUGCCACAUAAAUAUGCAAACGAUGCACCAAACAUUUAUACAGAUAAGGGUGGGAUGAUAAAUAUAAUGUGUGUUUAAGCGCGUCUGCUAGCUGGCGCGGUUGCACGGAGCGGGUUGAGAACAACGAAAAAUAGUAUAAACAACGGUAACUGGCGCGGACGCGUGCGACGGAUUUUAGGGCUCCAAUACAUGAUGGCCCAGCGUAUGUCAGUCCAAGGGACGCAUUCAUGCGUUAGAGGGAGCAAGUGAUAUUGCUAUCUCAUUCCACCGCAUAGCUGCGUCCCUUAGACUGGCCUACGCUGAGACAUCGUGUAUAGGAGCCCUUAUCUACAAUGGCAACCGCGUGCGUGCGCCCCCUUCGUGCACCUGCGCCAGCUAGCGGACGCCCUUAGCUUUUGACGCGAUUAUUUCCAAAUCAACUACCAUGUUUUUAAAAAAUUUAAUUCAUGACUCCUAUUCCUUUUGAAAUUCACUUUGCGCCAAGGAAGCAAAAAAUAAAUCUAGUUCUUUUAAGUAUGCUUUACUUUAAAAAGAUUUUUUUUGGUUUUUAAAUAAUGUACCACUUUGUAAUCGUGAUUGAUUUAUGUACAUACUCCGUGUAUAAUACUAGUUUUAUAGUACUAAAUGAUGAUCUAAGGUAAGUCACGCACGCAGAAACAACAGACGGACACAGGGGUAUGGCGAAACCUAACUACUUAACUAGGUAACCCUAAAAAAGAGAAAUUCAACCUUAUUUUACGUCGUAGAUAACAGAUGUUGACACUCGAAAGAUGCUAGCUGGAAUCCGUAGAGUGCAUUAUAGGAAAACGUCAUAAAUGGCAAGUGCCAAAUUACAAUACAGAAAUCACUAACAAAAUUCGAUAUUAAAAAAACAUUUUAUAAAAAUGUAUUCAAACGAUUUUCGUCCUUUUUACAUUCAAGUAAAGAAAGAAGAAGAGAAAGGUGACAAGUAUGCCAGUAUCAAUAUGGAAGUAAAACGUAUAUCUAUUCCAGAGCCUCAUAAUCCAUUUACGAAGAAAACUACUUUUACGCAAACUUACCCUUCGACGUUAGAGCCCGCGGUACCGCGGAAGCCUUGCUGCGGUUAUUGUGGAUAGCCUUUUUCGUUUGACAUGCAAAAUAAACCGGAUAAUCUCAAGGAAACGAAAAGCCGACCUCUCAUGAAUCUCCUCUGUGUCCUGUGGGCCAGAAGCAUCGGUAACGUGUUAGGUUCUUCAAUGAGAUUGAUAUCCUGUCACUGCAUGUCUACAAAUGUAUACCUUUUUAUUUUACAAUCAUAUUCACAUUUGUCAGAUUAUAUUGUACUAGAACUGUCUGACUUGGAGGAAGUUGAAGAAUUCAAAACGAACCGUGGCCCGGCGCGACAAUAAAGAGUAUUUUGAUUAAGACAACAGAUUACUUAUUGAAUGUUGUAGAUGUAUUUUAUAUCCGUGGCCGUGUGUAUGUAAAAUGAAGUGAUGAUUUGCAAAUGAAAGUCUUGACAAAGAUCGUAAAAUUAUAAACUUGUCGAGAUGAUUUGACAACUUUGAGGAACAGGCAAGAGCAGCAUUCACCCAGUUCCCACAAGGUUGCUGCGUUUCGCUGCUUCCUUCGCUGUGCCGAUCCAAUGUUGUCCCUCGCCCAAAGAGGAACGAGCCAGACCUGUCUCCGGUGAUCUGACAAUUGUAAUAUUUUUAAUGUUAUCUUACCGCAGAAAUAAUCAUCCAGUAUGAAAUCUUUGUUAAUAUGUUCCUAUACCUAUUUAAGUCCUACAUAGGUAUACACCUAGAACCUAGCAAAGUUGAGCGAAACAAGAAAGUAAGUUAUUUGUUUUACAAGGGACAAAGUUGUUCUUUAACCGCUCGUGCUAAUAACCACGGGCGUAGCGAGUGGUUCGAUAAGUGGGAUCUUGAGCGUUGCGAGGGUUUCAAGGCACGAGGGUUAAACAAACUUUGCCUGCAAGUGAAACACAAAAAAUUUCACCACACCAACGCGAGGAAAAUACUAACUGAAAUACCCAAAAAAUCAAACCAAAUCAAAUGCAAAUGAUCAUAAUAAAGAAAUUAUCAUUCAAAAUCAUCAUUUAAAAGUCAAUUCUACCACAGCUAACAUAAGAAAACUACUCAAAAUUUGCAUCUGAUUACUUUGCCCCACAUGUGGAUAAUAUGCAAAUUUAUCAUUAGUUUUUGAACAAUCAAGAGGGCAUUUACCAGUUGGUGUGGUAAAUAGUGGCUGGCGCGUUAUUUUUUACGCAUGAAUCCAAUGCGCGCGCAAGGCUAAGGCGCGAACGAAAUCGACAAACAUCCAAUUUCAUAAUGUAAAAAUACUGAUAUUUUCGUAUUUCUAUUCGACGGAUGGUGAUCAAAUCGAUAAAAUGUUAUGUUUAUUCAUUAAUGUAAUUUAGGAGAUAAUUUAAUCUAUAAAUUAUGUUUGAUGUAAUAAAACCUCUUUGGUGGCACGUCGUAUGCAACACGUGUGCUAUGUUCAUUACACACAUUGGCUUUCUUAUUGCGCGCUCGCUUGCAGCUCGCGCGCACAAUAUCGCCUCGUGUGUAAUGACCAACUUAGCACACUUGUAUCACAAUGCACUAUUACGAUACAAGUGCAGAAAAUAAAUUCGCAACGAGUGGUGAUAAAUUAAAAUACAACCGAAGGGAGUGUUUUAAAUCGACACGAGUUGCGAAUUACCUAUUCGGACGUGUAUCGAAUAACGUUUUAGUGCAUAUGGCUUUAUAAAGUUUCGACAUAAGCACGGAACACUGACAUAAAUGUACUACCUCAAUGGCACGGAAAGUAGCACCAUAUGCACUGUAGAAUAAAUUACUUAUGACAUUUUCAGAACUGGGUCACAGUGUGAUCACACUACUACUAGUAACGGAGCACGCCGACAACGAUCUCGAGCAUUUGAUUCAAUUUGAUGGUACGAUUAGCACGCAGAACCCAACGAGCGCCUUGUGCCAUUUACACAGAACAUUCCUAAAUAGUUCAUCAAAACAUCAGGGCCACCCUUCGCGUAAUCGCAGGGAGAGUAUGUAGAGCUACUAAAAUUCGCGUUGCGUCGCUGGUUCUCAGUUGCGAUUCUUCAAAACAUAUUAUUUGUAUACAAAUUAUAUACGUCUAUAUGGUUAAUGUAUAAAUAAAAAGUUGUGAACCUCUAA